rnacentral:ribozyme from 1 species
UUCUCUCUUUCUUUGUUGUUGUUGCUGUUGUUGUCUAGGAGGACAAAAAGAAAGAACAAGAAGAAAAGAACACAAAAAAGAUGCAACAACUUACACAAAGAUUUUCC